AAGGGCACUCUCCGUAGCGUCUCGUUCCCUGACCUCGGCGCACUUCCGGGUUAGGGCCCCACCUUGUCGCGCACAGUGCCACCGCUCCCAGAGUCCCGAUGGCCCGAUCGAAGUUAUGGCUCGUGAGUAAAGCUCCUGUGUGUAUUUGCUGUUUAUCGCCACAAGUGCCGCUGUUAGCCGCUGUCCACGGUUGGGUCGGUGUUGGGUCGGUGUUGCUGUCAGAUGCCCCGGCCGCUCGGCGUCAAGUGUCGUGGAUGUGGAAGUGUGUGUUUUGUGGGUCCAGGGUGGUCUUCGGCAUGUCAUCUGGUGGAGCGGUGGCCCUGUGAACGAGCUGCUGCUUUGUUUUACUGUGUUUUAUAUUUUAAGGACAAAAUCACCGUACAGCUGCUUUUGUGACCGUUUUAUCGGCAGUUGUGUGAACAGUGAAUAGUCUACUCUUAAAGUUAAUCUAACAAAAGGAAACAAAUGAAUUAUGGCAAUAAUAAAUUACUUCAUGUUUUGUAA